AACUAAUCAUUGCCCCAUACUGCUUUAAUAAUAAUCUUGCUAGUUUGAACUACAGUUACUAAGUUUCUCUGCUUUCUCCCUCUCUUUAAGCAGCAGAGAAUUUCUUAAUGACUCUCUUGAUGCCAUUUGUCGGUUGUUGUUCGCAUUGCCCCUGGUGCUACCAACUAGGAUUUGAAAGCUGUGAAGAGUGUAGAUUCAGGUAUUCAGUGUGACUAGAAAAGUGCUGGCACAGUCAUCAUUUGGGAUAUGCAGUAAAACGGGAUGUAUGAUAAGUUGGCCAAAUUUAGAGUCAAUGAUUGAAAUACCAACCUGGAAUGAAACUUG
rnacentral:lncRNA from 1 species